rnacentral:rRNA from 1 species
CCUACGGGCGGCAGCAGUGAGGAAUAUUGGUCAAUGGACGAGAGUCUGAACCAGCCAAGUAGCGUGAAGGAUGACUGCCCUAUGGGUUGUAAACUUCUUUUAUAUGGGAAUAAAAUGUUCCACGUGUGGGAUUUUGUAUGUACCAUAUGAAUAAGGAUCGGCUAACUCCGUGCCAGCAGCCGCGGUAAUACGGAGGAUCCGAGCGUUAUCCGGAUUUAUUGGGUUUAAAUGGAGCGUAGGUGGAUUGUUAAGUCAGUUGUGAAAGUUUGCGGCUCAACCGUAAAAUUGCAGUUGAAACUGGCAGUCUUGAGUACAGUAGGGGUGGGCGGAAUUCGUGGUGUAGCGGUGAAAUGCUUAGAUAUCACGAAGAACUCCGAUUGCGAAGGCAGUUCACUGGACUGCAACUGACACUGAGGCUCGAAAGUGUGGGUAUCAAACAGGAUUAGAUACCCUAGUAGUC